rnacentral:lncRNA from 1 species
AUGAUGAGAGUUUAAAUUCCUACCACAACCAUAUAUACAUGCUUGCUAGACUUUGAGCCACACAUUUACUAUUUACUGCUUAUGAGCAUUGAGCGUGGUCAAGCUGUGUAGACCCUUAGGAGCUUGUCAUGUGGUUAAAUCAAGAUUUCACUUGCACGUUCACUCAUAUAUGCUACUUCUACUCCGGAAGCACCAUCCACAUAUAUCCACCCAUUUCCAUCUCUAGAACCACCCAAAAAUAUUCUACUCCUAAUCCGGUAGAGAAUAGCCAAAAAUAUUUCUGUUUUCCCCUGUGAAAUAAAUACUCAAGUUAUCUUGUUACUACCACUUGCUAUAUUAUCUCAAGAGAUGAGUGCUCUAAUAAAAACAAAGAGAGGUACGAGAAAAUAAAAAGGAGCAAGUGCUCGGAACCUCGAAAGGAAAGAAAAAGAGUGAGACAAGAGGUAAAAAUGGACAAGUGUCCGACAGUAGAAUUAGGGGUACAAGAUACCCACCUGAGAUAAAAGAAAAAAUAUAGAGCAUCUCAUUCUCCUCAUAAAGUUACUGAAAGCAAGGAAGGUAUGUAUCCCCUCAAAGAGCAAAAGUAGAAUUAGACUUUCACCAUUGUUACCACCAUCAUCACCAUACACCAUUCAUUCGCCACACAUGCACAUCUUGAUUAAACUUAUUGAUUUGUUUCUUUGGAUCCAUGGUUUGACUAUGCAAUAAAUGUCUUGUAAGUAUGUAUAUUUUAUCUCCCACCUAUGAGCUCCAGAUAUUAAAGCCGUAUUAGAGUAGGGUGAGAGACAAGGCAAUGUCAUUAUGCUUCAUACCACAGAUACUACAUAUCUUGAGAGAAGGCAUAUACCAUCACUGCCUUGGUAAGGAUCCAGAAAUACCACAAAAGAAAGAUUUGAGAGAAUCAUACAAGGAAUCUCUGAGUUUUAUUUUAAAAUCUGCAAAAACUUCAGAGCUAUAGCUGAUCAAGAAAAAGAGACAUGGC